GGGGGCAACCCUGACCGAGCAACGCCGCGUGAGUGAAGAAGGUUUUCGGAUCGUAAAGCUCUGUUGUAAGAGAAGAACGAGUGUGAGAGUGGAAAGUUCACACUGUGACGGUAUCUUACCAGAAAGGGACGGCUAACUACGUGCCAGCAGCCGCGGUAAUACGUAGGUCCCGAGCGUUGUCCGGAUUUAUUGGGCGUAAAGCGAGCGCAGGCGGUUAGAUAAGUCUGAAGUUAAAGGCUGUGGCUUAACCAUAGUACGCUUUGGAAACUGUUUAACUUGAGUGCAAGAGGGGAGAGUGGAAUUCCAUGUGUAGCGGUGAAAUGCGUAGAUAUAUGGAGGAACACC
rnacentral:rRNA from 1 species